AUUGAACGCUGGCGGCAGGCCUAACACAUGCAAGUCGAACGAGUGGCGGACGGGUGAGUAAUGUCUGGGAAACUGCCUGAUGGAGGGGGAUAACUACUGGAAACGGUAUCUAAUACCGCAUACCAUCGGAUGUGCCCAGAUGGGAUUGGCUAGGAGGUGGGGUAACGGCGCACCUAGGCGACGAUCCCGAGCUGGUCUGAGAGGAUGACGAGCCACGCUGGAGCUGGGAGACGGUCCGGACUCCUACGGGAGGCAGCAGUGGGGAAUAUGGCACAAUGGGCGCAAGCCUGAUGCAGCCAUGCCGCGUGUAUGAAGAAGGCCUUCGGGUUGUAAGGUACUUUCAGCGGGGAGGCGUUACCCGCAGAAGAAGCACCGGCUAACUCCGUGCCAGCAGCCGCGGUAAUUC
rnacentral:rRNA from 1 species